GACCGAUUCAACUGAAAACUUUAAGAUGUCAACGAGACGAACCAUCGACACAGACAAUGCAUUAGAGAGGUCACCUACCUCCCGGUGAACAAUGAGCCAUGAAGACCUUUCAGCUAAAAAUGAAUCAACCGGAAACGAUAGUAUGCAACAUAGAACUUGCUUAGAGAUUAUAGUUAAUUCAUAAUAAGCAGUUUUGAUGUGAUUGAGAAUUUGGGUGGAUUGGUCAUCAAAGUCUUGGUUUUCUUUACGGGCUAGGUACAUGGAACUCCGUUUUAAGCUUGUUGAGGAACCUUUUCGG